GGCCUGGCUCCGCCGCCGCCGCUGGUAGCAAAUGCGGAUCUGAAACCGGGAGAGAGCAGAGGCGCUCAGAGACCGCCGACGCCUCGUGCUCACCGCCCAGGCCCCCGCGGAUAUAAAAAGAAGAAGCCACCGGAGGGGCCGCGAACUCACGCCUUCUUGGAGCCGCGCCAGGUCCAGAAAUAGCCCGGGCUCGGAGUCCCAAUUAGAGGAGCGCAGCCCCGGCUCAGGGGAGCUUAAAAAGAGCGACCCAGGGGCAGGGGGGACGGGCCCGCCCGCGCCAGCCGUGUCACUGAGAGGGCGGAGCCAUGCAAAUGAGCCCGGGGAUUUAAAAGGGCGGCCGUCCGCCAGCCGCCGCCGCCGGUCGGGUGGGUAUUGCCUGCUGGCAGGGUCUUCUAGUUGCCGGGAUCCUGGGGGCCUGGCUUGGGAACCCGAAGCGACGUCCCACUCCCCACUGUCCCGGGCCGGGAGACAUAGGAAAGGUGCAGAGGGAUCACCAAGGAGCUUUUCGCAUCUGGGAGGGCGUUCUUACUGCCGGGAAUGGGGUUCUCCCGGAGUCACCUC